rnacentral:lncRNA from 12 species
CAGAGGCUUCUUCAGCCUCCCCACUUUAUCUUUUUCUUUCUGAGAGCUUGGCUGCUCGCCCAAAAGACAGAUGGAAAUUAAGUAUCAAGCUUGGGAGGAAAUCAGAUUCAUAGGGAAAAGGGCCAUCCAACCCAAGGAAAGAUCUGGUGCAAACACUAGGUGCCAGGAGCAGAAGGCAAGGUGGGUGGAUUCGAGCUUGAGGCUGAAGCUAGGGUUUGGCCUGAAUCUCUGAUCAGAGAAGGAUGGUUAAGCCGAGUUAGAGCUGGGGUCAGAGUCAAGGCUUAAGACAGGACAAGUAUUAGGCUGGCCUAAAAGCACAACAGAUGGGAAAGAGCUUGGAACCAAUCCAAGUCAGAUUUUAGUUCUGAAAUAUCAAUUACUUGCUGGGGGACUCAGCCUCCUGCACAAUCGUUUAGUGUUGUUGAAAGAAAUGCUUGGAGAAUUAAAAUGUAAAUGAGAUAAUGACUGUAAACUUCCUGCUGAUGCCUGACAAAUAGCAAGUGCUUAAUAAUGAACAGUGGCUAUGAUGAUUAUUCCUACCCCUCUAGCAGAGGCAAGGGGGGCACAAGUUGUCUGGCCCGGCUCAGCCCGGGGCCUCUGGCCUGUACUGGCAAUGCCAGGUCUGGACAGCAGAGGGCGCAGGGCUCCCCUUCCCUCCCUCCUUCUACCUCCUGCCCUGGCCUCCUAAAGCUGGCAGAACUAGAAUCUUAGGGACAGAGAAAUGGGAUCUUAGGGACAGAAUUGUGGUCUUAACUGGUUUGUUAAAACUCUUGAUUUUUUAGCAAAGCCUAAGAUGCAGCAGUGAUGAUGCCAAAAGCCGUUACAGACGAAGUUGUGCCAAGGCAGACGCUGAGGCAGCCCUGCUAGGGGCCGCCCUACUGAAUGGCUGAGAACAUUCAGGAUGCCCUCUCCUACAGGGUGGAAAAUCCUCGUGCUUUUCAUCAAACACGCAUGGGCCCUCUCUGUGUCUGGCAUUGUCAUUCCAGUUUGAGUAUCUUCGCUUGUUGUCCUCAACCUUGCUGUUCACCAACAGGUGUCCGAGGGCCCCACCAGUUAAUAACUCAGAACACAAUGAAUCGCUUUUAUUUCCGUAUGCAUCCACAUCUCAGCAUUUAGUGGUCCUGAACAGAAAAGUGGAAAAAUGCAGCAAUUUGCCAGGAAGUCAAGCCCGCCAAUUUCGGGGAUCUGCUGUGCACACUGAGUUCUUUCUCGAUCCCUGCUGAGGACCAUGAGACGCAGCAGCACCAAAACCAAAGUAUGCACCAAAUCCAAGGUUCUUUUCGUUCCAGUUGUCAGAUUCCAAACUAGACCCAAAUGGAUUGUAAGAUGACCACAUGAGAACCCUGUUUAAAACUUCUUCAAUUGUUAAAAGCAAAAGCAAUUACAGGAAAAGAAAACAAUUCAUUCAGAGGGAUCGUGUGUGCUUACAAGUGUCUUCUGUGGCCUUUCUCCAAGUUUUACCACUAAGCACUUUGAGAGCUGGCAGGUCUGAAUACCCCUGGUGACUGUUCUUUUCACUUUAUCAAAACCUGAGCUAAAAAACGGCAUCAGCUGAUGAUGACUGCAGAGGGUGGCAGGGCUGAGGACCCAAUAUUCAUUCCCAGGCUGGUGGAGAGUGAGUAAAUGUGGUUCCAAACUAAAUGAGGGAAGUCAGAGACUCUUUCCAACCUUACCUGAUGGCUUCUGGCCAAAGCAAGGAAGUAUUGGGUUGUGAGGGUGCAAAAAGGGACUUGAGGAGGAAGGAAAAAGCACCCCUCGAUUAAGGUGGGGGAGAAGAUAUGGGGAAAGCCCUGAAUCCCUCACCAAAGGCCAAUUUCAGAGGGGAGCAGAGGGGAGCAGAGGGGGUUACAAAUCUAUGCUUCGGCCGAGGGAUUAACACACUAUCAUUAAUUGUAUGGUUUGCAUUAUUUCCUAUGCAACCUGUAUAUUCAGCUUCCUACUGGAAUUCCUACUUAGAUGUCUAAUAAGCAUCUGAAACUUACCAUGUCCAAAAUGGAACAGAUUCGCUGGUGGGAGUUGCUGUCUGAUAGUUACUAUUUUCUCUGUGAAGUGGGAGGACCGGGUUAUUUAUUGUGAGUGAAGGAUGGUAUAUGAGCAUGGAGGGGUGGGGAGAGGA